ensembl:lncRNA
AUGGAAAAAAGAAGAGGCUGUGGUGAAGGCUUGUACCAUUUCUCUCUAUUUCUCCUUCCUCUCUCCUCUGCUUCUUUCUUGUUAGGUGAUCGAGUUUCUACUCUGGCCCAUCAGCUGAAUAGGUGGGGCUUGAUCAAUGGCAGGAAACUGAAGGAUCAAAUGUCAUAAAAUGGUGCCAGGCUGCGACAUGAAGGCGGGGGCCAUGAAACCGUACCCUCAUCAUCAGACUGUACAGUAGAGAGACAGAGUUACACUCCCGGUGUAAGCAGGGCAUAAAAAUACUGCUGCAUGAUAAGGAGCUGCACAGGGACUUUGAACAUUUUAUUAGUAUCUAUAAAAGAGGCACAGGACGAAGGACGCGGUGUCUAUAAAGCCUUAAUGGAGGAUCAAUUAAGAUGGUCAAGCUGCUGAAAGAGACUUUUACAGUGUAGGGUUUUAACACUAACCUUGUCCUUUAACACUAACGUUAAAACCACAAGGCUGGAAAAUUCGGCUUAAUUUUCAUUCCAUUGCAUCAUCAAUAUUUUCUGAUCAGAAACAGUAAAAAUGUUUGUUAGUUUGAGUAAGAAUUUAAAAGUGAGCGGUGGGUCAAGGAGAAUUUCAACCUGCUUAAGUACAGAAUAAAACCUGUAAUAUGCUACUCACACACUAAUCAGAAUUUAUAAUCUACUUAACUAAUUAUAGAUUAUCUUGCAUUAUUUAAGUUACUUUAGAUUUGAACAUGUAAUAUAUAUAUAAAAAAUAAGAAAAAGGUAUUUAAUUUCCAUUUUCAUUAUUCUGAAAUAUCAUUAAAAAAAUGUGUAUUAGGGAAACUUAAAAAUAAAGCAGUAUUAAAAUAUAUACAAUUAUUCAAUGAAUAUGUAAAAGAUAAUCAACAGACUGUAUAGACAAUAGACAAUAUUCAUGUUUUGAAAAAUAUUUGAAACAAUAUUGCUUGUAUCACUCAUCUGUGUUUACUGAAUAUGUGUAAGAUCUGUAUUUUUAAACCUCUAUUCGGUAUUCUGGUGUGUGUGUGUGUGUGUGUGUGUGUGUGUGUGUGUGUGUUUUAUUUUGACCUCAUCAGUCAGAUGGUUUCAUUAUUUAAUGUGUAUUUGAGUUUCUCUAAAGGCAGAUAGUGUAUCACAACACAUAUUUCUGGUCAAAACUAAUAAGACCCUAUUAAUUUCUGCAUCUUCCAAACCUUCCCCCAAUCCCCAGUCUCUCUUUCUGUCGGGAUAUAGCAUGACAAAUUGAAUUACUUUUUGAACACACGACUGGCCAUCUAUCAAAAACAAGUCAAAAAUCUUCCCUGCGCAUGUUUAUGAAAGACAUUUC